UGCGAAGGGGGGACGGAGAAGGCUAUGUUGGCCGGGCGACGGUUGUCCCGGUUUAAGCGUGUAGGUGUGUGUUCCAGGUAAAUCCGGUUCACUUUAACACUGAGGCGUGACGACGAGGCACUACGGUGCUGAAGCAACAAAUGCCCUGCUUCCAGGAAAAGCCUCUAAGCAUCAGGUAACAUCAAAUCGUACCCCAAACCGACACAGGUGGUCAGGUAGAGAAUACCAAGGCGCUUGAGAGAACUCGGGUGAAGGAACUAGGCAAAAUGGUGCCGUAACUUCGGGAGAAGGCACGCUGACACGUAGGUGAAGUGAUUUACUCAUGGAGCUGAAGUCAGUCGAAGAUACCAGCUGGCUGCAACUGUUUAUUAAAAACACAGCACUGUGCAAACACGAAAGUGGACGUAUACGGUGUGACGCCUGCCCGGUGCCGGAAGGUUAAUUGAUGGGGUCAGCGCAAGCGAAGCUCCUGAUCGAAGCCCCGGUAAACGGCGGCCGUAACUAUAACGGUCCUAAGGUAGCGAAAUUCCUUGUCGGGUAAGUUCCGACCUGCACGAAUGGCGUAAUGAUGGCCAGGCUGUCUCCACCCGAGACUCAGUGAAAUUGAACUCGCUGUGAAGAUGCAGUGUACCCGCGGCAAGACGGAAAGACCCCGUGAACCUUUACUAUAGCUUGACACUGAACAUUGAGCCUUGAUGUGUAGGAUAGGUGGGAGGCUUUGAAGUGUGGACGCCAGUCUGCAUGGAGCCGACCUUGAAAUACCACCCUUUAAUGUUUGAUGUUCUAACGUGGACCCGUUACCCGGGUUGCGGACAGUGUCUGGUGGGUAGUUUGACUGGGGCGGUCUCCUCCUAAAGAGUAACGGAGGAGCACGAAGGUUGGCUAAUCCUGGUCGGACAUCAGGAGGUUAGUGCAAUGGCAUAAGCCAGCUUGACUGCGAGCGUGACGGCGCGAGCAGGUGCGAAAGCAGGUCAUAGUGAUCCGGUGGUUCUGAAUGGAAGGGCCAUCGCUCAACGGAUAAAAGGUACUCCGGGGAUAACAGGCUGAUACCGCCCAAGAGUUCAUAUCGACGGCGGUGUUUGGCACCUCGAUGUCGGCUCAUCACAUCCUGGGGCUGAAGUAGGUCCCAAGGGUAUGGCUGUUCGCCAUUUAAAGUGGUACGCGAGCUGGGUUUAGAACGUCGUGAGACAGUUCGGUCCCUAUCUGCCGUGGGCGCUGGAGAACUGAGGGGGGCUGCUCCUAGUACGAGAGGACCGGAGUGGACGCAUCACUGGUGUUCGGGUUGUCAUGCCAAUGGCACUGCCCGGUAGCUAAAUGCGGAAGAGAUAAGUGCUGAAAGCAUCUAAGCACGAAACUUGCCCCGAG
rnacentral:rRNA from 1 species